UACGUAGGUGACCAGCGUUGUCCGGAUUACUGGGCGUAAAGAGCGCGCAGGCGGUCGUUCAAGUCGAGUGUGAAAGCCCCCGGCUCAACUGGGGAGGGUCAUUCGAUACUGAUCGACUGGAAGGCAGGAGAGGGAAGCGGAAUUCCCCGGUGUAGUGGUGAAAUGCCGUAGAUACUCGGGAGGAAGCACCCGGAUCGGGUGCGAA
rnacentral:rRNA from 1 species